rnacentral:lncRNA from 1 species
AAAAUGAAGAUUCGGAUAAUUUAUGCGCAGAAAAAAAUCCUAAAAAUAAAAGAAAAAAAAACUAAUGUUUGAUUGAGUAGUUCUAUAAGUAGUAAUCAAGAGCAACGACAGAAACACAAGACAUGUAAGUAAAUUAUAGAAUGGGGUUAGAUUUAAGGAGACUGAAAAAAGAUAUGAGAGAUGAGAGUGAAGUGUGGAGUGGGUCAAUUAUUUUUUUUUUUGAAGACAGAGAUACUAACAAACUGAGAUCUGAAAGUUACCAGACGAAAGAAAAGAAAAGAGCUUUUUUAGAGAGACUUUGCCUCCUCUUCUCAGACCUCUCUCAUCACUCCCACUUAGUCUAGUCCCAAGGACUGUCCUUUACUGUUCACACUUAUUUUUAUUUAUUUCUUA